GCACUCACUUCAGCAGCACACAUUCUAAAACUGGAACAAUACAGAAAAGACUAGCAUGGCCUCUGCGCAAGAUGACAUGCAAAUUUGUGAAGCGUUCCAUAUUUUU